rnacentral:rRNA from 1 species
GACGAACGCUGGCGGCGUGCUUAACACAUGCAAGUCGAACGGAAAGGCCCUGCUUUUGUGGGGUGCUCGAGUGGCGAACGGGUGAGUAACACGUGAGUAACCUGCCCUUGACUUUGGGAUAACUUCAGGAAACUGGGGCUAAUACCGGAUAGGAGCUCCUGCUGCAUGGUGGGGGUUGGAAAGUUUCGGUGGUUGGGGAUGGACUCGCGGCUUAUCAGCUUGUUGGUGGGGUAGUGGCUUACCAAGGCUUUGACGGGUAGCCGGCCUGAGAGGGCGACCGGCCACAUUGGGACUGAGCUACGGCCCAGACUCCUACGGGAGGCAGCAGUGGGGAGUAUUGCACAAUGGGCGGGAGCCUGAUGCAGCAACGCCGCGUGCGGGAUGACGGCCUUCGGGCUGUAAACCACUUUCGCCUGUGACGAAGCGUGAGUGACGGUAAUGGGUAAAGAAGCACCGGCUAACUACGUG